rnacentral:rRNA from 1 species
GACGAACGCUGGCGGCGUGCUUAACACAUGCAAGUCGAACGGAAAGGCCCUGCUUUUGUGGUGUGCUCGAGUGGCGAACGGGUGAGUAACACGUGAGUAACCUGCCCUUGACUUUGGGAUAACUUCAGGCAACUGGGGCUAAUACCGGAUAGGAGCUCCUGCUGCAUGGUGGGGGUUGGAAAGUUUCGGCGGUUGGGGAUGGACUCGCGGCUUAUCAGCUUGUUGGUGGGGUAGUGGCUUACCAAGGCUUUGACGGGUAGCCGGCCUGAGAGGGUGACCGGCCACAUUGGGACCGAGAUACGGCCCAGACUCCUACGGGAGGCAGCAGUGUGGAAUAUUGCACAAUGGGUGGAAGCCUGAUGCAGCAACGCCGCGUGCGGGAUGACGGCCUUCGGGUUGUAAACCGCUUUCGCCUGUGACGAAGCGUGAGUGACGGUAAUGGGUAAAGAAGCACCGGCUAACUACGUG